UGCAUCGAUGAAGAACGCAGCGAAAUGCGAUACGUAGUGUGAAUUGCAGAAUUCCGCGAAUCAUCGAGUCUUUGAACGCAAGUUGCGCCCGAGGCUUGUCCAAGGGCAUUUCCGCUAGAGCGUCACC
rnacentral:rRNA from 4 species